rnacentral:sRNA from 1 species
UAGACUUUAGGAUUUCUCACACUCGGGUUGAGUAGCGAACAAAAAGUCACGUGACCAUGAAAGCUGUACUCAUCAUCUGCAUCGUAUUGAUGUGUGCCUCCACCCUGAGGACCCAAGAAGUAGAAGAGAACUCGGCCCCUUGCGUCCUAGACGGUGUGACCUAUGCUAGUGGCGAUCUCACUCCAGACCCAUGCAACCGCUGCAGAUGUCGCAAUGGUCAAGAAGUCUGCAACAGAAGGGGAUGUCCUCAAGAAUAUCAACGCUCUUAAUUCCAGUAAAAGAAGGAACUGGCCAGAUUGAGCAGUGUUAUCUAGUGUUUGUUUUACUUCCACAGUGUUCGUAAAUGUUUUCCACAAUUUGAGGAAACAAAAAAUGAUUAAUAAAGAAAUAAACUUAUAAAUGAUAUACAACA